AGCGGCAUAGUGGUGAUGUUUGGA
rnacentral:piRNA from 1 species